AACACAAAACGCCACUGGCAAGCCAGCAUCCACUUCAAAACGUCCUACUCUCUCGAAAAUCUCAAGAUAUGAAGCUGAUGGGUCUGCCCCAACCCAGGAGUGAUGGACUGAAGAAUUUUCAAUGCUCUUAUCCUGUUUUAUUGUACUGUUAUUUUUCUUCUUAUGAUCAAUAAAAAGGUGGUUUACA